UACAGAGGGUGCGAGCGUUGUCCGGAAUCACUGGGCGUAAAGGGCGCGUAGGUGGCGACCCAAGUCGAUGGUGAAAGCUCGCCGCUCAACGGCGAGUCGGCCACCGAUACUGGGUUGCUGGAGCACUGUAGAGGCAGAUGGAAUUCCGGGUGUAGCGGUGGAAUGCGUAGAGAUCCGGGAAGAACGACCGGUGGCGAAGGCGGUCUG
rnacentral:rRNA from 1 species